rnacentral:sRNA from 1 species
GAGAGAGAGAGAGAGAGAGAGAGAGAGAGAGAGAGAGAGAGAGAGAGAGAUUGCUUUCCUAAAGUUGCGGAAAUGUGUCUUUCUGUUGGUGAGGUGCUAGUGACUUUAAUUGCUUGCUUUUGUUUAUCCAUGGAAUGAUUUUUUACUUUACCUUUUAAUCUGAACACAAUCAAAAUUAAAGGUAUAUGUCCUAAUAAAAUACAGUUAAAACCUCAAUAUUAUUUAGCCAUUUUAAUUUUAUUGACAUAUUAAAGUUCUACUUUCUUUUGGUCUUUAAAAUAACCAGAUUACGUAUCUUGUUUUUUGAAAUUUUUUUUAAUUAUGUGUAUCUGUGUGUCUGUGUGUAGAUAUGUGGCAUAUAAGUGCAGGGGCCCGAGCUCUCGAGAAGCAGGUGCCAGAUGCCCAGAAACUGGAGUACCAGGCAGCUGUGAGCUGUAUGAUACGGAUACUGGGGAAUGACAGGUCCUCUGUAAGAGCACUACGUACUUUUAACUGCUGAGCUGCCUCUGCAGUUCAUGAACGUCUUUUAAGAAUUCCUUGACUCCUAACCAGAAAAAAUAGUCAUAUUUGGAGGCUUUGUGGAACAGAAAAUAUUCAAAAGUAGUCCAUCAUUUCAAACUUUACAGAAAGCUUACUAACAUAUUAACUGCCAUCACAACCCCUAUUUUGCAUAAUACAUUCCUAGAGUGUGACAGCAUGUCUAUAAUACAUGGUUUUUAUGCAGAUAGACCACGAUACACAGAUUGUUUAGCUUUAGCAAUGGAGUGUAAACAACUGUAGUUAAAUGACUUACAAUAUCUUGAAGAUUCAUUUGUAACUUCUCCCAUUUUAUGACAAAAUGAUUUAAAGGAAUUCUAGAACACUAAGCCAGUUGACAUCACACAGGGAAGGCAUGCAAAACCAGAUUCUUUCACUGUGGAGCAACACUAUCAGUUUUCUCACAUGAUUUUGUGAAAAUGAUUUUAAGGAAGAAACCAAACUAGUAAAUCCACAGAUGAGAUGCUUCUAGAUGUUUCUAGAUAGUGUACAUUGUCCCUAACGAUGGCCUUCUAGGGAGGCCUAGUAUAGCUCCAUGGAACAUCAGGUAGGAACCAGUGCUGGUAGUGAACCUUGGAGGCAUUUCCACAGCGUUCCCCCAUCAACCCACAUUAACCGAGAGAAGGAUUUUCUUUCUAGCAGUCAUUGCAUUGACUGGGCUCAUCACUCUGCAGGAUCCCUUCCUAAGAGGAAGAUCGGCUUGAUGACAUUUAGCCAGGAAUGGAACAGGAGUUGAGGAAUCUGUUAAUGGUGAAAUUUAUAACAGAAUAAAGGAACUGUGAUGAAGAGAUGUCCCUUGAGGCUUUUUUUCCAAUUCCCCAAAUGUCAACACUUCCUGCAAACAAAGUGCAUGUGUACUUGUCUCAUAACUAAGCUUAAGGCUUGAGCUCCUGCAGUGCCUACGCCACGUAGCUUCUUUUAUCCAGAAUUUAUUAACUGCUGGUCUCAAGUCCUUUUUAUCCAGAACUUAAUAACUUCUGGUCUUAGGUCCUUUUGCUCUCUUAGGCCAUACAUGUUAGGUUUAUUCACAAAUCAAUUGAAAAAGUGUGUUUAAACAGUUAUCAGCUUGUUGAAUUGCCCAAAUUCUCCAGGCUUGGGACUUACCAUAUUAUAUACUUCUAAACAUUAAAACAAUAGACAUAGAUAAUGUCAUAUCUUUGUGAAUAGAAGUGUUUAAAACUGAUGGAGUUGCUUUUCAUUUAUCAUUUAUCCUAGGUUCAUCUACUGGAAUAAAAUUCCCACGAAAUGUGAAAAUAAUGAACCAUUUAGCCAGUGAUAGUUGCACAUACCUUUAAUUGGGUGGCAGAGGCAGGUGGAUCUCUACGGGCUCAACCUAGUCUAUAGCAUGAGUUCCAGAACAAGCAGAACUAAACAGUGAGACUCUGUCUGAAAAUCAACAAAAAUAACCCUUCAACAAAAUACUUGGCAAAUUGUUAUUAUUCAAGGCACUGCACAAGAAGAGGUAGCAUACAUUCUCCCAGCUAUCAGAUAUUCUUAGAGCUUUAAAAUCCAUUCAGAAGAUGAUAAUGACAAUACCAUAUUAAUAAUAGUUAUUAUCAUGAGAAACCAGCAUACAGCAGAUGUUGCUUUAAGUGAUAGGAGUGUAAUAAGCUCCUUUGCAUAUGAAUGAUUUCUCUUAUUAGCAUAUUUUAAAGAUCAGAAUACUAAUGCAGACACUGGGAAAUAAGUACUUUGCCCAAGUUCCCACCAGGACAGCUGCUUCAGAUCAACAUAAAUAACGUUUUUUAAAAAGCACAAAACAAAAGCAGAAAGGCAGAGUUUGUGUAACAAUCUAUCAACACAGAAACACAGUCUUGACGUGGCCUGAUCCUGGUGGAUGUUUAUAAAAUGCUUUUCCUCAGCCGUUACUGUUCAGAUCUUGAAGAACAGGAAUGUCAAGGUUAAUAUUUGAUUUUAUGUUAUUUGCUCAAAAUCUUUUUAAUAGAAAAGAAUUUUUAAAACUACUUUAGUGAAACACUCUGUGACUAUUCUUGUUUCUCAAGGCAAAUAGCCCUAUACAAGUCAUUCUGAAUCAUCCUCAAGAUUGUAAACUUGACUGAAUUGAAGAGAACCUACGGAGAAAUAAAACAAGGAUUGGAGUUACCUGAUUCAGCUGGCUAUUCAGCUUGUGCUUUCUAAGGUGACAGGUCUGUCACCAAGUGCAAUUUGUUACUGCACUAAUCCUCACCAGUAGGACAGACCAAGGGCAGCCCCUGGGUUCUCUGCUGGUCAUGCCAUUAAAUAGAGACAAUGUGAUGAGAGUGAUUUCAAUGUUUCCUUGUGUGUAUAUUCCUGAAUAUACAGCUUAUGGAAGGCUGCUACAAAAACAAUUAAAUGCACACUGUAUGCUGUAAACUAGCACUAACUUGUGUGCAUCCCCAAGACCCUGAGAUGGGAGGAGCCCAUGUUGAGGCAAGUGCUGUCCUGUCCCCAGGUUCAGAUUCUUCCUUUGAAGCAGGAGCCCAUGUUCUCAGGUUGUGCUAAGCCUGCAAAUGGUGUAGUCUGUUAUGCCCAUGGUGAUACAGAAAGGAGCAGGAGUGGAGGCGUAUGACUUACAUGUCUAAUUUCAACUUGCAAUUACAUUUUCUUGCUGGCUCAUAAGAGAAAUAAAAACAGUAAAGCCUCAUUCUCCCAGUUCAGUACAAUUAGAUGAAGGCAAAAUGGAGCCACUUAAGAAAGAAUUUAUGUGCUUUUUGUUGUUGUUUUUGUUGUUAUUGUUGUUGUUAUGGUUUUGUUUUUGUUGUUGUUUUAGUAGAGGUCAAACUAGUAUUGGUUUUUUAAAAUAAUCAUUUUCAAAUUAGAAACUAAUAAUGACGUCAAAUAGCAGGCUGUGGGUGUCAUAAUAAUUACCUAAGACAGGCAGUGUGUCAUUUUCCCAUUUUUCAAUAGGAAAUUCUGUUGCCAAGAACCAUGACUCAGGCCUCAGGCUGCAGCCAUGUCUGACUGUCCCCAGGGCAUUUCUCUCUUCCUGUCUUGUCAGUGACAAGGCUGGCUUCCUGCCUCCCACAGGGUCCUGCUAAGUGAAUUGCCAAGUAACCCAGUUGAUAACACCUGACGAAAUUGAUAAAGAUAGAACCUAUUUUUAACCAUGCACACACACACACACACACACACACACACACACACACACACACACACACACACACCCAUAGGUACACAAGCAUCAAACUUGAACAUGAAGCCUUCAAAAGUUGAAGAAAAGUAAGGUAACUAAAGCGUUCUAGAUUUUGUAUUUUUUAAACACUUUAGUUGUUUGUUUUAGUUUGCGAUUUUUCUUUCUUUAUGUGAAGAGAAUGUUAAAAUCUGGAACAAUACUCUUAAACAAAUUGCCAUGCUUAAGGUCACCUUUGAAUCAAAGGCAACUGUGACUCUAAACCUCAAGAGUAUCAGACUCUAAAACACUUAACUGUUUUUUUUUAUUAUAAUUUCUUUCUUACUCAAUUUAUAUAAUAUGGGGAAGAUAAUUCUCCUAGUUAUUAUGUGAACUUGCAGACUAAAAAGCACAGACCACAAAGCUAACAAUUCCUUUAAAUUUUUUUUUUAUUGAAACACAGCCAUAGAAAUUAGCUAGCACACAGUCCAUAGACUGCUUAUUAGAAUAGCAAGAUUGAACAAUUACAACGGUGACACUUGGGCUUGCCGGCUGGAUACAGUUACUCUGGUCAGCAACAAAUAUUCUAUCCCUGAUUUAGUAGGCAGCAACAUCCUUCGGAAGGACCCUUAGUCAGGAAUUUGCCAAAACUGACGUCAUUGUUAAAAUACAGUUUCUAAAUAUAAAUGAAUAGAAAAAUGUGUUAUGUAACCCAGAAUAAGUAAGAAUAAUUAUACAAGAGAGAGACAUAAUAAGAACCAUUUUUGAAUUCUCAUAAUUCAUCUCAUUCUGUGAUGCUCUGGUGUUAAAUCUUCUCUCUCUCUCUCUCUCUCUCUCUCUCUCUCUCUUGUUCAAUUAAAGGGUGAUAUAGGCAAUUUAAUGGUUUUAAAGAGUAUAAUAAUCACAUAUGAAUAUACAACCAAAUUGUGUGUGUAAGGUGAUACAAUGUGUUUCAGACUUUAUUUCUGAAUUAUGGAAAUGUUAAUAUCCACCUUCACAUUGAUGACAAUAUUUAGCUCAGAUUGCUGUGCUAAAACACAACAUCCUAUUAAUAAAAUAGAGAUGUAGGCGAAUUAUGUUAAGUUCCACCUGCCUAUCUUCUAUGCAAAUUUUAGUUGAUGGAUUUGCAGAAAGAGCUCCGAAAAUGUUCAUGCUCACUAUGUCAUCUUGUUACAGAAGUAGAUUGAGCAUUGAGGUGUCUAGGUAGUGUUAACUAAAGAGAAAUUGCUGAUGUUGUUUUUGGGAGAUAGCUCACUGCCUAUGAGCACUGGCUGUUCUUCCAGAGGACCCUUCUUCAAUUCCCAACACACACAGGUGACAGGUCAUUACUGUCUGCAAUCAAAAAAAAUUAAUUUUAAAAUUGCAUUUUUGGAUUAAGAGACUAGAUGCAUGAAAGAGAUAGCCUGUUUGUAUACUUAACAUCUUUUAAAUCUAUCAUUAGUGGUAGAUAGCUACCUAAAAGGUGUGAAAAUAUGUGACAUAAUUCUGUCUUCUGAUACACAAGUCUAAUUUCUAUUAAAAAUCUAGACCAAAAAUGCUUGGAUUUGCUUGAUCUAGCUAUAUGACCUCUCAGUUCCAGAGGCAGUUGCGAAUUUUAUUUAGUGGUCUCUGCUGGCUUCUUUGACGGUUCCAUACCUUUAUUUUUACUGUCCUCUAUUGUGUCUCAGUACCCCAUUCCCAUGCUCACAAACCACUUAAGCAGUUCACCAAAUGUUUGCCGACAUGGUUUUCAAUUCUAAGACAUCUGAAGUUAGUAUCAUGUAAUCAUGCCUUGCUCCCAUACGACUGAGUGCAUGCUUGUUGACGAAUUUGUGCCUCAUAUGCAAAUACAUUUUAAAUUAAUUUUCAUAUAUAGGCUGAAUGUUUUAGAACCAAAUCAUUAAAAAUAGUGAAUCUGAAAUGUCAAAUUCCAAAUUCAAGCGUAUGUAUGCUGCUAUACCUUGAAAAAUACAAGUCUUCACAUUUGAACAUUUAUUAGGAAAGUAUCCAUCUCCUUCAGUAUUGCCUGCAAAACGUUUACAGCUUAGAGGCUGCCCAUGUCUUCCAAUUCUUCUGCCCAGUGUUGGAAUAGCUACCUUAAAUGCAUAUAGAACAGAGUUGCUGCAUAUUUCUGACUGAGAUGAAAUGACCAAUGAUGUGAGAACAAACACUGUUCCCUGAGAGUUCGGCAAGUUUUGCAUUGUACAGUGAUCAGGAAUCUGGGUCUUCUUCUCACACUGAAUUUGGUGAAUCAGCUCAGCCUCAUGCAGUUGUCUUCAAAUUGCAAGAUAACACGUGUUUAUUAGCUGGACACUAGUUGAAAUCUGUUUUUGUCACUAAACUGUUUGACUAUUGCAUUAUUAAUUUAUAUUCAUAACUUUAUAAUUUACAAAAUAUAAAAAAUUUAAAAAAUAACUUACAAGUAAGGGAUUGGGGAGAAAAGCAAAAAAAAACAAGUAUUUUUUUAAAAGGAAAAAAAAAGAAUCUUAUUGCUGGAACAACACAGAUCAUAAAAUAAGACAGUAAGAUGCUCAUCACAUGACUGGGAAGGACUAACAGAUGUUCAACAUAUAGGACUUUGUAAUUAGAGAGUAAAGCAAGACAUGGCCCAGGGUUCAUAAACACAAGCAACAAAAGGGAGAGGUCAGCACCAUGUACCUUCUAUAUAAUAAACAGUGUCUUCAAAAGCAAUUGUGAAGAUUCAACAACAAAAUAUUGUUUAUAAACCAGGUGUAAUUUUGAAAGUAAAGGAUUAUUCGCAACUGACUUCAAUAGCCUUCGAUGGGGUAGCUGACUGGAAAGGAGGAGGAGCGUUCUGUUGGCGUAGCUGAUGAACACAACUCAAACACCCAGGAUUUUUAGGCAAUGAAGUUUAGGCCUGAAGUUUCAGAAUAGGAACCAGGCAACUCCUCUCUUCUGUAUUUUUAAUGUCUCCUUUGCAUAAA